CCUACUUGGAUAACUGUGGCAAUUCUAGAGCUAAUACAUGCAAAAAAGCUCUGACCUUACGGAAAGAGCGCAUUUAUUAGAAUAAAAACCAAUCGAGUCUUCGGGCUUGUCGUUUGGUGAAUCUGAAUAACUUUGCCAAUCGCAUGGUCCUAGUACCGGCGAUGUAUCUUUCAAAUGUCUGCCUUAUCAACUUUCGAUGGUAGGUUAUACGCCUACCAUGGUAGUAACGGGUAACGGAGAAUAAGGGUUCGACUCCGGAGAGGGAGCCUGAGAAAUGGCUACCACAUCCAAGGAAGGCAGCAGGCGCGCAAAUUACCCACUUCCAGAACGGAGAGGUAGUGACGAAAAAUAACGAGACAGUCCUCUUCGAGGUCUGUCAUCGGAAUGGGUACAAUUUAAAUCCUUUAACGAGGAUCUAUUGGAGGGCAAGUCUGGUGCCAGCAGCCGCGGUAAUUCCAGCUCCAAUAGCGUAUAUUAAAGUUGUUGCGGUUAAAACGCUCGUAGUUGGAUUUGCGACUAUGGAAAACGGUCCCUCGAAAGAGCGGUCACUGUUCUUCCUGGUCUAAUAUACGUCAGUCGUCCCUAGGUGCUCUUUACCGGGUGCUUAGGGUGACUGAAAAGUUUACUUUGAAAAAAUUAGAGUGCUUAAAGCAGGCGAAUGUUAGCCUGAAUCGAGGUGCAUGGAAUAAUGGAAUAGGACCUCGGUUCUAUUUUGUUGGUUUUCGGGACCAGAGGUAAUGAUUAAGAGGAACAGACGGGGGCAUUCGUA
rnacentral:rRNA from 1 species